rnacentral:tRNA from 1 species
AGAGUGUUAAGUUAAGUAGACUUUAAUAUUUCAAGUAUUAAUGAGGCUAAGUGCCACACUUUA